ACACAGGAAGUUUGGUCAGUAUGGUGUGGUUGUGAUUCACACACUUCCACACAGUCUCAAAACAGCAGCAGUUCAGACUGUUUUCUCGUUUCUGGGACUGAGCAUCUGCUAAUGAAGAGAUGGACACUGCAGAGAAAAUCAUUCUUUUCUGUUUUCUCUUACAAGGUGUUUGCUGUAGAGAUUUCAGCAUCACUCUGCCACAGAAGAUCGAAGCUCUCAGUGGAUCCUGUGUGAUCAUAAAGUGCAGAUUUGAGAUUCAGGAACAAUAUGACAAAAACCUCACUGAAAGAGCUACAGGACAGUGGCUCAAAAAUGGGACUGAUUUGAAAAACAAUCUAGUGUUUAACUCAAGCACAUCAAGCCAGAAAUCCUCCAUGAAAGGAAAUAUUACUGGAAAAUUAAAAGACAAGAACUGUACCACUGUUUUUCAUGACCUCAGAUCAAUUCACAGUGGUAAAUAUUACUUCAGGUUUGAGGGUGAAGGUGAACUGAAAUGGACCUUUUCAAAAACAAGUGUUUCAAUU